CUCUGCCUCAUCAGUGCGGACGGUUGGGUAUUGGCCCACCGUGACAAUCACGAGUAACGGAGAAUUAGGGUUCGACUCCGGAGAGGAAGCCUUAACACGGGAAGUCUGCGAACGGCUCAGUACACCAGAGAUAAUUUUCUUGGUAGAAAAGUUGGCGCAAGUCAAACGAGAAUAACCAAAGUAACCCUUUGGCUAAUGCAUGCUAGUGAAGGGGCCCGCAAGGGUCGUCCUAUUCCGUUGGUAAUAUGGUGGCCGUUGCCCGGGGUCCUGGUGCGCAGGAUUCCCGCGAGGUUGGGACAGGAUACCUGGUCGAGCGGGGCCUGUGCAUUCCCGGGUGACGAAGAUGAAUCUGGAAAAGAUUAAAGCUCUGCCUCAUCAGUGCGGACGGUUGGGUAUUGGCCCACCGUGACAAUCACGAGUAACGGAGAAUUAGGGUUCGACUCCGGAGAGGAAGCCUGAGAGAUGGCUGCCACAUCCAAGGAAGGCAGCAGGCGCGCAAAUUACCCAAUCCCAACACGGGGAGGUAGUGACAAGAAAUACCGGCUCAGGUGGCCUUGUGCUAUCUGGGACCUGGAAUGAGAACAGUUCAAACUUCUUAUCUAGUAUCGAUUGGAGGGCAAGCUCUGGUGCCAGCAGCCGCGGUAAUUCCAGCUCCAAUAGCGUAUAUUAUUUUUGUUGCGGUUAAAAAGCUCGUAGUCGAUAGUUUGCGCCCCGUCUGUGGGUCGAUUCGGGCGUGCCUCGGCCAGAAAUGGCGCUGGACGUGCGGGACCUGGGCUGCCCUGGGGCCCGGGCCGGCGUUUGGCGUACGCUCGUGCGGCUUUACGGGGGUGCACGGCCUUCUGUAAGCCACCCGCAAGGGUGCAAGGGGCCUGCUUCUGGGAUUAAAUCAAAACGCUCAAGGUGGGCGCAGUUCACCGUCAGGUGUCUGUAUGUUUGAAUGAUUAAGCUUGGGAUGGCGCGGCGACAAAGAGUGCAAUGCUCCGAAGCCCGCAAGGGUCCAGCGCACCGGCAGGGGAUGCCAUCACGGGGCGGUGCGCUGUAAAUUCUAUGCCCUGACGAGACCGUAGGUACCACGGGGGGAGAGGUGAAAUUCCAUGAUCCUCGUGUGACAACCAAAGGCGAAAGCAUGCGGUUAGGAUGGGCCAGCUGAUCAAGGACGAAAGCCGGGGGAGCGAAGACGAUUAGAUACCGUCGUAGUCCCGGCAGUAAACGAUACCACUUCGGUGCCGCGAGGAAGCAGAAAGAACGUUUUGCUUUUGGCGGCGCCAUCCCGGAAACGAAAAGCAUUCGGUUCCGGGGGGAGUAUGGUCGCAAGGCUGAAACUUAAAGGAAUUGACGGAAGGACACCACCACGGUGUGGAGUAUGCGGCUCAAAUCGAC
rnacentral:rRNA from 1 species